rnacentral:lncRNA from 1 species
GGCUCACUGCAACCUCCACCUCCUGGGUUCAAGUGAUUCUCCUGUCUCGGGCUCCCGAGUAGCUGGGAUUACAAGCAUGCGCCACCAGGCCCGGCUAAUUUUUUGUAUUUAGUAGAGAUGGGGUUUCACCUUGUUGGUCAGACUGGUCUCAAACUCCUGAUUUCAGGUGAUCCACCCGCUUCGGCCUCCCAGUGUUGGGAUUACAGGUGUGAGCCACCACACCUGGCCUCUCCAUAUAUUACAAAGUGGUAGUUGGUAGGCUGAGCUGCCUCUCUCAGAGACCUUGACUCUCUCCAAGGCUGUUAGAUAACCUCAGAGGUAAUGGAAAUGCAGUAAUCAGAUAUUGCAGAUAAUACAAGACUCAUUCAUUUCCAGAAGAUGAAACAGCUGUCAUGGAAAUAUUUUUUAAAUCUCAUACUGGCUAUACAAGAAGAAGCAUGGCACCAGCAUCUGCUUCUGGUGAGCAGCUCAGGCUGCUUCCAUUCCUGGUGGAAGGGAAAGGGGAGCUGACUUGUGCAGAGAUCACUUCCAAGAGGGAAAUCAAGAGAGAGAGGUCAAACGGUGUAAACUUUGCUGGAAGGAACCUUACUCAGAGGGCCAAUCACCUGCUUCUCUAGAGUUCUCAAGCUCUCCUGUGAGCACCAGGUUGAGCUGCAGAAAGCCAGAACCAGCUCAGAAACUGAGAAAUGGACAUGAAGAUGCCCAGGAAACAUCUCUACAGCAUCCCUAACUGGGGGUUGAUCCAUUCAUUUCCAGACACAGAGAACAGAGUCACAUUCUGCUGUUUCCAUAUGUACCAUUUUAGUAAGACUUCUUGGGGCACAAGGCAGGAAGUUGGGGACAAUAUAUUUGUCUGCACCAAGGCAGCCUGAGAAGAGAGAAGUGAAUACUCCUGGGGUUAUUCUAUAUUAUUCACUUAAUAUUCUAAGUGAGUCCUCUAGGGGUACCUGAGACAUGGAGUAUGAAAGUACACAUUCACAAAAGUACCAGCUUUAAAACUAGAUUAUCUCUACUAUUCAAAAACACCAAGGAAAGGCCACACAAUGGAGACAAAGUGCAUCUGAGAUCUAGCAAAUUUCCCUGUUGGCCACAUACUGAUAAUGAUGUAUUAAAAUCAAUUCUAUACUGUGGGGUACUUAUUUGACAUUAAUAGGUACCAUGGUGGUUUAACAUAGUUGCUGCCCAGAGAAAACGCCGCACACUCACCUACACUAAAAUGAAGUCUGAGUCAGCUGCCUCCCCUCCGCCAUCCCUUCCAAAGCCAAUGGUUGAAAGUCACAGAAGUCCCUCUGCUGCCACCUAGUGACGACAAUGUGAAUACAACUACACAGCCUCCUGGGAAAGAAGUUUUGAACCACGUUUGCUUCUAAAGGAAGCCUGUAAUUACCUCUGAGUGCUCUAUUUUGGCUACAAUUUAAAAACAUAUAUAUUUUAAAACUCUAUAAACUCUUAUGCAUAUCCCUUUUUAAGAAUCUGACCUGUAAUGGAUGUAGCCUCACUUUCAAGAACCUAAAAGCUAUGCCCCCAAUUCAGGGAGUAGAACAGACAGGCUUAAGAACAGUGCCUAAAAAUGCCACUAAAUUUAUCUUUAAAAUGCCUGUGGUUCCUUAGCACUUGAAUUCCGUUAUGCCCCUGGGUAUAGUCACCUGGAUGUUAGGGGCUGUCAAAAUUCAGCCCUCAGUUGGUGAUCAGUAGGUUUUCCCUUUAAGUGGUUUCUGAAAGGAUUUUUUUUAAAAAUCUUGAAAUUCUCAUGUCUGGAUGAUGUUUCCAGUUUUGUGGAAGAAUAAAAGAAAAGGGACAUGAAAUUCUGGCUCCCUGGGGGCAGUGGCUGUGUCUUAUUAAUCUCUGUGCCCAUUGUACCAACACCGGUCAGUCACAGCAUGUACUCAACCAAUGCUGAUGAAUGCAGAGGGGCGAGGGGCUGGCACGCUCUUGACCCCUUAUAGGGGCUGCGUCGAUGGCCAGGGUUCAAUGGGAACUUUCUGGUACAGUCUUGCUCUGCCAAUCUUUCAAAUUAAGUGCAGCACAAUUGGAAGCCUCACAUUCUCAUAGACGGGUUGAGGAGGGCAUUAGGGGCAGAAAGGCUCACAUAAGGCCUGAGCGUGAGGUUUCCUGCCCAGCACUGCUGUGCCAUUGCAGCCCACCUUCUUCUCACCUUUCCUUCCACACCACGGCGCGGCAGGUGCAGAAACCGUGCUGGGAUUGAGGCCCUAGAGGCUGACUACAGGUCUUGGGGGCAAAACAUCUGGACACACAGCUGAAGAUGAGCCAAGUAUAUUAGUCAGGGUUCUCUAGAGAAACAGAACCAACAAGAUAGAGAGAUGCAGAGAGACAGAGGGACAGACAGACAGAUUUAAGUAACUGACCCAUAAAAUCUUGGAGGCUUGGCAAGUCCAAAAUCUGCAAGAUGGAAGUGGGCUGGCACAUUGGAGACUCAAGGAAGAGUUGCACGUUGAGUUCAAAGGCCGGCUGCUGGCAGAAUUCCUUUCUGCUCAGGUGAAGUCGGUCUCUGUUCUAUUAAGACCUUCAACUGAUUGGAUGAGGUCCACCCAUAUUAUGAAGGGUCAUUUGCUUUACUCAACAUCUACUCAUCUAAAUAUUAAUCUCAUUGAAAAAAAACCCCAGAAACAUCCAGAAUAGCAUUUGACCAAAUGUUUGGACAAUGCAGCCUAGCCACAUUAACACACAAAAUUAACUGUCACAGCAAGACACCAGGGAAGCAUUGGAAGAUGUUAGCGGCUGUCAUUGAAAUGGGUGCCGUCAGGUGGACGGCAGCCAUCCAUCGGGCAAGAGCGGGGCAGCUGGAAGGGCCCUCCCCUCCCGUUUGCUUUCUGCUCUUCACAGCUCACGGAUAGAGGAAUUUUCUCAGCACAUUUCCCAGGAGGAGUUUGGCACCACCAUUUCUUGAAAACAGAUGUCUGCAGGGAUGUGUGUGUGCCUGUGAAUAUGAAGUCCAGAGCCUGGGACUGAGAACAGCAAGGGGAACAGGUGGCCACAGGGGAGUUGCCAGAUUGCUGACUUAAGAUGUGCUCCCAGGGCUGCACUGGUGUCGGUCGUGAGAGCGAUCACGGUUUGUGCAACGUCUGAACUUUCUAUCAACUUAUGGUUUAAUCAAUUUGCUGUUUACUCCAGCUAUUUGCAACCUCUCCUCAGUUACUUGGUGUUCAGCAGUGUAAUAUAUCUUCAUGUGUGAAUAUAAAUAUACUAUUUAGUGGAAACUAAAAGGAAUUGUGGAGGAAGAAUUUUUUUGGAUAAUUUUAUGUUUUCAUAAUGUAAAAAUUAAAGAUAUUUGAAGAGUUGAGUAUGUCAGUUUUGGGGAUGCAAGAGAAUGACUUCGGGACUACCAUAAUAUUUAAAAUCAUCACUACUCUUUCUUUCCACCUAAGUCUCAUAGCAAAAGAGGAAAUUUACUUCAGUCUCUUUCUGUAGCAGAACAUUAUCGUGCUGUAUUCCUGUGUUCACUUAUCUGCGCUGGAUUGUGAGUCCUUACAGAGAGAAAUUGUUAUGUGCUAUGUUCCCAACACCUGCACAUUAUAGGUGGUCACUAAGUGCUUGAUGAAUAAAUGAAUGAGGGAAUAAUAUUGUUUAUUAUUUUUUGCUGUUAUUUAUAAUUGGGAGUGGGUAGGAUUUGGAUUAUGAAGACUCUGGGAAGCCUCAUAAGAACCUCAGACUCACUGGGCACGGUGGCUCACACCUGUAAUCCCAGCACUUUGGGAGGCCGAGGCAGGCGGAUCACGAGGUCGGGAGAUCGAGACCAUCCUGGCUAACACGGUGAAACCCGGUCUCCACUAAAAAUACAAAAAACUAGCCAGGUGUGGUGGCGGGCGCCUGUAGUCCCAGCUACUCCAGAGGCUGAGGCAGGAGAAUGGCCGUGAACCCAGGAGGCGGAGGUUGCAAUGAGCCGAGAUCGCACCACUGCACUCCAGCCUGGGCGACAGAGCAAGACUCCAUCUCAAAAAGAAAAACCUCAGACCAGACUCAACGUGUCCAAAAAAGAGCUCACCUUGUACCCCUAGAUCCUGAAGCGGCUUCCAGUAGCUCAACCUCCUCCCAUCCAGUUCCAUCUCUGCCAGGGAUCUUUUAAAAAUGCAAAUCUCAUUAUGUCUCUUUCCUGCCUCAAACCUCCCAGUGGUUCUCCAGUCUGUCAGGAGAGGGUAUAGACUGUGGCCUGGCCCGGGAAGUUCUUUGAGGUCAACCCCUGCCUACUCAUCUUGCUAACUCUUAUGGCUCUCUGACACUAGGCUUUUGCUCCAAUCAUAUAAGCAACUGUAUUUCCAUAAAAUUGCAAUGUUCUUCCCUACCUCCUCACUUAACUAAUUUUCACUUUACUGAUCAUUUCUUAUUUUACUAUCAGCGUCUCUUUCUCCUUAUUCUUCAGGGAACAUUUCUCUCCACCAUCCUGUGCCACACUGUGGGGGUGUCAGUAACACCCUCUGUCCUCUCCUGGCCAAAGGAAAGGGGUGUCAUUCAGCCCAGGCCCCUGGAUCCUCAUCUUGGGAUUUGGAAAUGUGACCGAAGUGACAUAAAAAAAAGACAUGAAGUGCGAGGAGCUCAUUCAGUCAGCUCUGCAGCUCCAGCUGGGUUACCUGUGAGUCCUUGCUAGCCAGAUCCCUUGAUUUGCCGUGACUCCUGCCUUUGCCAAGUCUGUCUUCAUAGAUUCUUUCAAAUGUGGUUCCAUCUUGCCUGAGUUCGUCAGAGCCAGAUUCUGUGCUGUAAUAAAAAACCCCAAAUCAACUCACCUCUCACCCUCCACAAUGCAGCUUCUGGAAGAUUCCAGAUGCCCCAGCCUGACUGAGAAUUCUCUCUCCUCUGCUCUCAAAGUCCCUUUGGGUGCUUCUACCAAAGCACUGACAGCGUGAUUCUGAUUUGAUCGCUGGUGUCUGAGAGCUGUGAACGUCUUGAUGGUUUUGGCGCCCAGCACCAUUCCUGCCUCAUAAUUGGCACGUGAUAAAGGCUUGUCGCAUUCCCUCAUUCAAAAUAAACAUAGAAGACAAUCCAGAGAUUGCAGCUUCACAGAAAUCACAGAAGGAAAUUUAUAUUUAUAGAGACGGCAUAUAAAAUUUUAAAACAAUUUUAAUGAAAAUCUUGAAAAUAGACAUUCUCUUCUUUAAACAACAUAAACUGAACAAACUCAGUCUGUUUUGGUGCCUCUGUGAGUACCCUCGGUUGCUCUGGGCUGCUGUGCGAUGCUGACCGGGACUUCCUCAGAGGCCUCAUCUUCUGCAUCCAGUGGACUUGCAAGCCACUUUACACUUCCUGGGUGAUAAGGUUUGGAUUUGUGUCCCCGCCCAAAUCUCACGUGGAAUGUCAUUCCUAAUGUUGGAAGAGGGGCCUGGUGGGAGGUGAUUGGAUCAUGGGGGCAGAAUUCCCUCUUGCAGUUCUCUUGGUAGUGAGUUCUCACAAGAUCUGGUUGUUUAAAAGUAUGUAGCACCUCCUGCUUUCGCUGUCUUCCUCCUGCUCCCGCCAUGUAAGACGUGGCCUCCUUUCCCUUCGCCUUCCGCCAUGAUUGAAAGUCUUCAGAGGCCUCCCCAG